AGAUAAUGAGCUUGAAUAAGUAUAUAUUUUGAAAAUAUAAGAUAGAAUAAAUUUAUUUUAUUAUCUA
rnacentral:tRNA from 1 species